rnacentral:hammerhead_ribozyme from 1 species
AUUCAGCUGACGAGUCCCAAAUACGACGAAGCGCGCGUCCUGGAU